AUAUAUAUACUUGUUUCUUCUGGUCUUGCAUGUUAGGUAUAUUAUAUAGAAUUUAUCUUUAUUCUUCUAGUUUAACUCUCUGAAAUGGCAAUGAAAAAUUUCAGCAUUUUCUUCUUUCCUCGCAUCUCCUUUCCUUCGAGAUUAUGAUAAUACUCGCUUAGGGGAUUCGACCUCAAGAUUGCCUCGUAUGUCAGAUGUUCUUAAGCGAAGAACCUCAGUUCACUGGAGCAAGAAACAACAAAGUAGUUUUAAAUCGGUGAAGAAGAAAAUUCAAGGAGCAACAAACGAAAUCAGAAAUGUUGCAAGUUUGAGGUUGAAUGAGGUCUGCAAUUGGCUUACAGCAAGACUGGGCCUCAAUGGAUAACGCCAAAUAUAGCAAAGAGUCAGGAAGCAAUAAUGGUGAAAAGAGAGAAGACUGCAUAUGUUACAAGUAGGUAGUAAACAAAAUGGAUUGUUAGGGUAGAUGGUAUACUUGGAUCUGGAGAUGUUUCAUUACUUGGGGUUACGCUUAUAGAAAUAAGAGAUCAGCAGAGUUUCUUGGAAUUGAAGUUGCAGUUUCAGACUGAACUAGCUUUUAUGUAGCACAAUAUCAAUAUCAAUGUCCAUCGUCUUAGGUACUUUUUUAUUUGUUUACUUUUGUACAUUGGAUUGAAUGCUGGUGGUAUACAGUUCAGCUAAAUGUUAGUUUAUUUUGAUUGUUGGAUCGAUUUUUGUAAUGAAUAUUCAAUUUUUAUUUUUA